rnacentral:lncRNA from 1 species
AGACUAGUACUACACAUAUAUAUAUAGGUACCAAGUCUCCAUAUUGCUCAGGGAUCCGCACCAUCUAAUAAAUCAAAGACCACAUUGGAAUAGGACAUCAAGCAUCCUUGUUAGACUGGAACCCAACUAGCUAGACGUAGACCCCAACUAUACUAAUUCUAACCAACUCCAAUUAAGAAACUAACAAAUAAUGAUCUUGAUUUAAUUCCUACAUUGCCUCCCUUAAAUCAAGAUCUUCAAAUUUCACUAUGCCAAGCAUCUUCUUCAAUUUCAUGAACAUCUCCAACUUGAGUGGCUUUGUCAAAAUAUCAGCUACUUGAUCUUCACUUCUGCAAUAGUCAAUGACAAUUUCUUGCUCUUGAACCAACUC